rnacentral:lncRNA from 1 species
GACACUUCUGGGGACAUCAGGGAACCCUUGGGGACACCGAGGAUCUCUUUAGGGACCCUCUGAGGACAUUGGGGACCCCCCCUGGGAUGGCCAUGGGAGGGUUGGGGACGUCAGAGGGCCCUUGGGGACACCAGGGACUGUCUCGGGGACACUUUGGGGACACCUCGGACCCUUUUGGGCCUCCCCCGGGAUUGUCAUGGUGGCCUUGGGGACAUCAGGGACUUUCAUGGGGACACAUUGGGGACAUCGGGACCCCCCUUGGGGACACCAAGGACCCUUUUGGGGACCCCUUGGGGACAUUGGGGCCCCCCCUGGGUUGGUCAUGUGGGGGUGGGGGGCAUCAAAGGUCCCUUUGGGGACACUGGGGAUUCUUUUGGAUUUAGCCCCGCCCCCUAAUCCUUAGCCAAUCAGCGCUGUCGUGCCAUGGCACUUCAGCCAAUGGCAGCGCAGGAUGGGCGGGAGUUUCGCUACCAUGGAAACGCCCGAGCCGGGUCACCAUGGUAACGAGCGAGGACGCUUCCGGGUUCCUGCCCCGCCCCCUGCCGCUCUUAGCCAAUCAGCACUCGCGGAGCGGAACAGCCAAUGGCGAUGCAGAAGGGGCGGGAGCAGCGUUGCCAUGGCAGCGGUGCGGCCGGGCCUGCGGCGGGAAAAGCGAGAAAAGGACCUGAUCCCCUCCUAGCCCCGCCCAUCUCUCCCAGAGGCGCCCUCCCAUUGGUCGGAGGGGGAGGCGGGAUCCGGGAGCCGCCGCCUCUGAUUGGCUGAGGAGGGAGCGCGGGAAAGCGGCGGCGGGGGCGCCUUCCCGGCGUGCACCGCGCGGGAGAACUGGGAGAGACUGGGAGGGGAACUGGAAGGUCGCCGAUGGCCGAGCCCCGCCCGGGCCCUCCCAGUGCUCCCAGUGGCCCCCAGUGCUCCCAGUUCCCCCCUCCCAGUGCUCCCAGUGUCCCCCAGUACUCCCAGUUGCCCCCUCCCAGUCUGGAGGGGCUCAUUCCCCCCUCCCACUUUGUGCUGCGCCCCAGGUCCCUGGGGGCGGAGCUUGAGGCAGAAAGGGGGCGUGUCCAUGAAUUGGAGGUGGAGCUGAAAGCACUGAAGGGGCGGAGCCAGCACCUGGAGGUGGAGCUUGAAGCAGAAAAGGGGCGGAGCCAACGGCUGGAGGCAGAACUUAAGACAGAAAGGGGGCGGGGCCAAGCGCUGAGGGUGGAACUCGAUGCCCUGAGGGGGCGUGGCCAGCGAUUGGAGGCAGAGCUGGAUGCAGAAAAGGGGCGGAGCCAAAUCCUGGAGAUGGAGCUGGAGACCCUCAGGGGGCGGGGCCUCAGCCCAGAGGGGGCGGAGCCAAGCCCGGAGCAGGUGAGGCCUCGAUGCUCCCAGUUACCCCCAGUGCUCCCAGUAACUCCCAGUGCUCCCAGUUACCCCCAGUGCUCCCAGUAACUCCCAGUCUCACCUGUCCCAGGUGUUCUGGAUUUGUCUCAGGGGCAGGAGCCACCCCAGGAGGGGCCAGGGACACCUGGGGGGACAAUGGGGAUAUUUGGGGGCACUUGGGGACACACCUGAACACACCUGGGGACACUGGGGACACACCUGGGGAUGUUGGGGACACACCCUGAGGUGCCCCAGGUGUGUUUGGGGUGUCUCACGUACACUGGAGGUGGUUCA